rnacentral:rRNA from 1 species
GAUGAACGCUGGCGGCGUGCCUAAUACAUGCAAGUCGAGCGAACGGACGAGAAGCUUGCUUCUCUGAUGUUAGCGGCGGACGGGUGAGUAACACGUGGAUAACCUACCUAUAAGACUGGGAUAACUUCGGGAAACCGGAGCUAAUACCGGAUGAUAUUUUGAACCGCAUGGUUCAAAAGUGAAAGACGGUCUUGCUGUCACUUAUAGAUGGAUCCGCGCUGCAUUAGCUAGUUGGUAAGGUAACGGCUUACCAAGGCAACGAUGCAUAGCCGACCUGAGAGGGUGAUCGGCCACACUGGAACUGAGACACGGUCCAGACUCCUACGGGAGGCAGCAGUAGGGAAUCUUCCGCAAUGGGCGAAAGCCUGACGGAGCAACGCCGCGUGAGUGAUGAAGGUCUUCGGAUCGUAAAACUCUGUUAUUAGGGAAGAACAUAUGUGUAAGUAACUGUGCACAUCUUGACGGUACCUAAUCAGAAAGCCACGGCUAACUACGUGCCAGCAGCCGCGGAAAUACGUAUGUGGCAAGCGUUAUCCGGAAUUAUUGAGCGUAAAGCGCGCGUANGCGGUUUUUUAGUCUGAUGUGAAAGCCCACGGCUCAACCGUGGAGGGUCAUUGGAAACUGGAAAACUUGAGUGCAGAAGAGGAAAGUGGAAUUCCAUGUGUAGCGGUGAAAUGCGCAGAGAUAUGGAGGAACACCAGUGGCGAAGGCGACUUUCUGGUCUGUAACUGACGCUGAUGUGCGAAAGCGUGGGGAUCAAACAGGAUUAGAUACCCUGGUAGUCCACGCCGUAAACGAUGAGUGCUAAGUGUUAGGGGGUUUCCGCCCCUUAGUGCUGCAGCUAACGCAUUAAGCACUCCGCCUGGGGAGUACGACCGCAAGGUUGAAACUCAAAGGAAUUGACGGGGACCCGCACAAGCGGUGGAGCAUGUGGUUUAAUUCGAAGCAACGCGAAGAACCUUACCAAAUCUUGACAUCCUUUGACAACUCUAGAGAUAGAGCCUUCCCCUUCGGGGGACAAAGUGACAGGUGGUGCAUGGUUGUCGUCAGCUCGUGUCGUGAGAUGUUGGGUUAAGUCCCGCAACGAGCGCAACCCUUAAGCUUAGUUGCCAUCAUUAAGUUGGGCACUCUAAGUUGACUGCCGGUGACAAACCGGAGGAAGGUGGGGAUGACGUCAAAUCAUCAUGCCCCUUAUGAUUUGGGCUACACACGUGCUACAAUGGACAAUACAAAGGGCAGCGAAACCGCGAGGUCAAGCAAAUCCCAUAAAGUUGUUCUCAGUUCGGAUUGUAGUCUGCAACUCGACUACAUGAAGCUGGAAUCGCUAGUAAUCGUAGAUCAGCAUGCUACGGUGAAUACGUUCCCGGGUCU